GUUUGAAAGCACUGCCUUCUGGUAUAAAAGGCUGUUCCGUUCUGUCUGGACACCAAUUAGUGAUGCUAAACCCCCAAGGCGUGUGGUGUCUAUUGUUCUCUAUCAAUUUUCCCUGCUUAUGAAUGCAAGCCAACAUGUUCCUGAAUAUAUGUCCUGCAACCAGUGGACAUCUGAACAGACGAAGAAGGCAUAUGGGUGUGCAACACUGAAGAAAACAGAACAUUUUCAUAACAUCUCAGAGGAGUAAAAUGGUUUGAAGAAACAGAAACAUAAUCUGUCAAUGGAGUGGAGCCAGUGACCGCUGGAAGAGACCAUUGGUAGAGAAAAGAAUCUGGUAAAGAAGCUCUGAUAUAGAAUUUUUCUGCUUCACUUAAAGUUAAAAUGGGAUUUCUUAAAAGAAAGAUAUUCAAUAAAUAUUCUGGAACACUGGAACGUUUGACACUAGGAAGGAAAUGGAAUGCUGAAGUUCCAAAUCUACUUUCAAAAUUUCUCAUUGCCUAUGGCAUGCAGAAGCUCCUGGGACAAGAAUCAAACCUGUGCUACAGCAGCCACCU